UACGUAGGGUGCGAGCGUUGUCCGGAAUUACUGGGCGUAAAGAGCUCGUAGGUGGUUUGUCGCGUUGUCCGUGAAAAACUCACAGCUUAACUGUGGGCGUGCGGGCGAUACGGGCAGACUGGAGUACUGCAGGGGAGACUGGAAUUCCUGGUGUAGCGGUGGAAUGCGCAGAUAUCAGGAGGAACACCGGUGGCGAAGGCGGGUCUCUGGGCAGUAACUGACGCUGAGGAGCGAAAGCGUGGGGAGCGAACAGG
rnacentral:rRNA from 1 species